UAACAAGGAUUCCCCUAGUAACUGCGAGUGAAGCGGGAAAAGCUCAAAUUUAAAAUCUGGCGGCUUUGGUCGUCCGAGUUGUAUUCUAGAGAAGCGUUUUCCGCGUUGGACCGUGUACAAGUCUCUUGGAAUAGAGCGUCAUAGAGGGUGAGAAUCCCGUCUUUGACACGGACUACCAGUGCUUUGUGAUGCGCUCUCAAAGAGUCGAGUUGUUUGGGAAUGCAGCUCAAAAUGGGUGGUAAAUUCCAUCUAAAGCUAAAUAUUGGCGAGAGACCGAUAGCGAACAAGUACCGUGAGGGAAAGAUGAAAAGCACUUUGGAAAGAGAGUUAAACAGUACGUGAAAUUGCUGAAAGGGAAACGCUUGAAGUCAGUCGCGUUAGCUACAACUCAGCCAGGCUUGCUUGGUGCAUUUUGUAGUUGACGGGCCAGCAUCAGUUUUGACCGCAGGAAAAAGGCCAGGGAAAUGUGGCACCUUCGGGUGUGUUAUAGUCCUUGGUUGUAUACUGUGAUUGGGACUGAGGCUCUCAGCACGCUUUUGUUGUGCUUAGGAUGCUGGCGUAAUGGCUUUAAACGACCCGUCUUGAAACACGGACCAAGGAGUCUAACAAACCUGCGAGUGUUUGGGUGGUAAACCCGAGCGCGCAAUGAAAGUGAAAGUUGGGAUCCCUGUCGUGGGGAGCACCGACGCCCGGACCAGACCUUCUGUGACGGAUCUGCGGUAGAGCAUGUUUGUUGGGACCCGAAAGAUGGUGAACUAUGCCUGAAUAGGGUGAAGCCAGAGGAAACUCUGGUGGAGGCUCGUAGCGAUUCUGACGUGCAAAUCGAUCGUCAAAUUUGGG
rnacentral:rRNA from 1 species